rnacentral:sRNA from 1 species
GCCGGGUGCAGUGGCUUACACCUGUAAUCCCAGCACUUUGGGAGGCCGAGGUGGGUGGAUCACCUGAGGUCAGGAGUUUGAGACUAGCCUGGCCAACAUGGUGAAACCCCAUCUCUA